AAAGAAACUUACUCUCUCUGAUGUUGUCAAAGGUCCACUGGUCGCUCUUGAAGAAGGGAUGACAUUUGAUCUCCUCCACUCCGGUGCGGCCCAGACGAAUCUCCCUGCACACAGCAGGAAGUGCGAAGCAAUCAGACUGUGAGUACCUUCCACCAUCAUCAACAUGUCAUCACAGUCACUGCUGAGUGGACUGACCACUAGGAGUGAACCACACUGACCAGCGUGGAGAACCACAUGACCACUGGUGGACGUGCACCAGAACCACCUCUGAUAACAGAGGUCAGAUGGGCGCGGCAGCUUGGCCUUGCCACGUGUGGGACAUUCCAGACUCAAAAAACACAGCGGCGGGAAAGAGAGAAGAGGUCUUGCAUUGUGAGUAUGCAGAGCAGCGUGAUUCAUGAGGUAGAGUGGGUUGUCCAGUAACUGGAGGGAUGUUGUGUCCUUGGGCAAGACACUUCAUCCACUACGCCCCCAAGAUUCUCCUACACAGGGCUGCUUCACUGACCAAGAUGCUGGCCUAUGGCCUCCCUAACAGUGGCCGCCCACUGCUCCUCAAGAGGAUGGGUUAAAUGCAGGAGGAAGAUCUCACCAGCUGCACUUCUCCGUAAGCUCCUCUUCCGAUCAGCUUCACCUUUUCAAAGUCGUCCAGCUUGACCUGCAACUCGCGCAGCUGGCUCACCGCCUUUUCAACUGUGUGGAGAGAUGUGCGUGUUACCACGGCGACACGGAGGCCAAACUUCAAUCGUGUUGAAAGAGGAGGGUCAGCUGUUAACAACUUCAUCAGGGUCACGUGAGUCAGGCGUUCAUUACACUGGACUACAGUGAAUGGGAACUCUAGCAGCCAUACUUGAUCUUGUCGGAAAAAGUGGAAAGAUGAGUGCAAAUGGUCAGCCUGAUCAAUUUAGGCUCCUGGCACAAGAGAAAUCUAACAACUGUAUGUUCUAAUUGACACGGCAGCUCUUACAUCGGAUCAAAAAUGUUUCGAUGUUCUUGUUCUUCCGCAGAGCAGGAUAGUUCAAGUCGUGAGCCAAGGCAUUUAUGGAAUCCUGGAAGGGAAAACAAU